AGUGAACGCUGGCGGUAGGCCUAACACAUGCAAGUCGAACGGCAGCGCAGUAAGAGCUUGCUCUUACGGGUGGCGAGUGGCGGACGGGUGAGGAAUACAUCGGAAUCUACUUUUUCGUGGGGGAUAACGUAGGGAAACUUACGCUAAUACCGCAUACGACCUACGGGUGAAAGCAGGGGAUCUUCGGACCUUGCGCGAUUGAAUGAGCCGAUGUCGGAUUAGCUAGUUGGCGGGGUAAAGGCCCACCAAGGCGACGAUCCGUAGCUGGUCUGAGAGGAUGAUCAGCCACACUGGAACUGAGACACGGUCCAGACUCCUACGGGAGGCAGCAGUGGGGAAUAUUGGACAAUGGGCGUAAGCCUGAUCCAGCCAUACCGCGUGGGUGAAGAAGGCCUUCGGGUUGUAAAGCCCUUUUGUUGGGAAAGAAAAGCAGCAGGUUAAUACCCCGCUGUUCUGACGGUACCCAAAGAAUAAGCACCGGCUAACUUCGUG
rnacentral:rRNA from 1 species